AGUUGUUUUUGCUUGUUUGGUCUUUUUGUGGGCGGAGCCUGUGGCUUUAAAAGCAGGGCUCUGCGCCACAGGGAGUCGGUCUGUGGCUAGACUCCUGAGAAGUCACAUUGAAGGUGCUGCUGUUUUUCUGAUUUUAACCUGCCUUGGACAGCCUUUGUAUAUAUUUUGCACCUGCCAUCUUUGUUCAUGUGAAGAAAAGCAUAAUAAAUUUCACUAAAGUGACCUCUGCCCUUGGGAAGUCAUUUUUUUUGGUUGUCCAAGUCAUAAUAGAACCCUCUCACACUGACCAAUAACAUUUAGGUUUAGGACGGACAUGUACUCACCCCACAGAUCCACACAGAUGUGGGCUACAUAAAAUAUUUUGACACAAAAUGCCUUUUUUUUAGUAGUAGUACUAAAGACGGUAAAAAAUAAAUAGUAACUUUUAUUUUCUAAUUUAAAGAAAAAUCUUAAGGUACUGACAGUGUGUACAGUUGCAGGCACUAUUGGAUUUAUAAAGAUUAUUGAAUUAUGAAUGUGCGAUAAAUCAAGAGCACUAUUUCAUUGGACCUCUGUGUGUAUUCUGUGAACUGUCUGUGGACGGUUGAGAUUUUAUUGUCAAGCCUACCGACUGCCAAAAUUUCUCAUGACUAAAUUUUUUAAUUUCCCACAAUCACAAUGGAUACCAGCAAGUUUGAUGAGCCAGUUGGGUGCCUAGCGCGAUUUUUUUCUCCAUCAGGGCAGCCACUGCACAACUGCCAGAGCUGCAGUGAGAGUGGCAGUCACGCCAAGUAUUCCUGCAACUGUGCGCUGACUCAACCUUACCAGCUUGUUGUCUCAGACAAAUCAGCUUGAUGUGAAGACUGCUUCCUGCCAAGCAGUUCCCUGUAAGAGUCCGCCUGUGAUUUUUGGAAAAAGGCACAAACCUACUUGCAAACAUAUCCAGUGGAUCUCCACUUUGACUCCACAUUGAGAACACGUGGGCCUUUGAGGGAGUGAAGGACACCCGAGUAUGUUGAGGCAACAGGAAUCUGCUGCUGUGCAUGUUACAUAACAAGUUGUUGCAAGCAAACCAAAAAGUGAACUCUUGACCUGUACCACCUGCCUUGAAUGUUCAUGGUAAAAGUCCAGAGAGGAAUCAGCCGACUUGUGUGUUCUCAUUCGAAAUAAGCGCAUAAAAUUUUGAAGCUAACACACCUUGGGCAAUGGUCUCAAGCUGCAGUCCUUGAAGACCAGAGCUGUGAAACUUUUAGAUGCGUCCCUUGUCCUUCACACUUGAAUGAAAUGGCUACAGUGCUUCACUAGCUUGCAGUCCAGCUCUACAUAGCUCUGCUAUUGAGCGAACAUUGGAGCAGAGACAUCUAGUUUGUAUUUCCUUUUAAUUCAUGUAAAGCACUUUGAAUUGCCUUGUUGCUGAAAACGUGCUAUGUAGAUAAAAUUACCUUACCUCACCUUACCUUACUCCAGUCCUUGAGUCCUUUGAGACCUCUGGCUUAGGGGCUCCAUAACGUUAAUUUUUUCUGAUUAGUUUUUCAAGUGUGCAACCUAAGAAAUUAACUGAAGACAGGGAUUAAGUGUGCAUAGCUGACCUUUAUGUCUUCUCCCUAACAGUUCCCCUCUCCAGAGUGGGACACAGUGACCGCUGAGGCCAAAGACCUGAUCAAUAAGAUGCUAACCAUCAAUCCAGCUAAGAGAGUAACUGCUGCAGAUGCUCUCAAACACCCCUGGAUCUGUCAACGCUCCACCGUGGCCUCCAUGGUGCACAGACAGGAAACAGUGGAGUGCCUAAAGAAAUUCAAUGCCAGAAGGAAACUGAAGGGUGCCAUCCUGACGACUAUGCUUGCUACUCGCAACUUCUCAGCAGCCAAGAGCCUGCUGAACAAAAAAACAGAUGGCGUCAAAAUUUGCCUCCACAUGGUCACUGUGUGUCAGCAAAGGAAACACAUCUACAGUGAGCACUGAGGGAAGACAUCUGGGAAUGAAGAACUGAUGAAUGACGUCUUCAUUUCUGUCACCGUUCUCUCUGCUGUCCUGACAGGAAAGGAAAACCCUCCACUCAUGCUGAGAUAGUGUGUUUUUCUCACACGGCUGCUUCUAAACCAGACUUGAUUUCAUCCAUUUGGGAUUGUGAUGAUCCAGCAGAGCUUGUCUUUGUCCAAUCAGAACUGGAACCUUAUUUUUCCUUGUGCAAUGAGCUCAAUUUAAAAAAAUCUUGUUGUAGAUGGUCUGCUUUAAACUGAUCCUUAUAGUGGAGCUCAUUUCUUGUUUACCGCUUUUGAUCACUGUGAUGACAUUGAGCACACUAGGCUUCUCCUAAAUGAAUCUUCCCAGAUAAAUUCUAAAGCACUAAUUUUAUUUGCUGUUUUGAAGCUUUUCAGUUGAAUAAAGUUAAACAUUUGUGUUGAAGUUUUUUUUGGCUAUUGACUGCUAAGAAUUCUUUAAGUAGUUAGACACCUAUGCUCUUAUUUUGAAGAAAGUGAAGACAGUUCACGAGGGUUGCCUGAUCUGUCAGUUUCCAGUCCAAACCCAAUAUCCCACUCUUGCUUCCUUCCUUCCUUCCUUCCACCCACCCACAGCAGUGAAUGUUUGGACACUAAGCCUUGUCACUUCUGCCCUGUCCUGCCUGUCUUUCUGUCCACUGUCCUCCAGAUCAACAACAAGGCUAAUGUGGUGACCAGCACCAAAGAGCCUGUCCCCUCUCCUGCUCUGGAGCCUCAAACCACUGUUAUCCACAAUCCUGCUGAUGGAAACAAGGAGUCCAGCGAGAGUGCCAACACUACCAUUGAGGAUGAGGAUGUAAGAGGUAAGAGACUAUGGACAUUUCUUUUGCUUAAAACUUGGUUUGGUUUUUCUCUAACUCUGACUUGUGUGUUCAAUUAUUGUGUAUUCUCAAAUGUUAUCUUUAUGUCGUUGCAUUUUAGUCAGUUUAUAUGUCUUAGCUGACACAUACAGGAAUGUGGAGUAAUUGAUCUAGAUGCUGUAUUAAUGAGUCUUUUAACUGCAGUUAAAAUGAGCUUUGUGCAUAGUGAUGGACUGUUUAACUGACCUUAUCAUUUGGAUGUUCCAGAAAGAAAUUGUUUCACUAAAUGUUGGGUCCCUGAGGGGCAAGCAAAACAGAAAGAGAAGAAAGAUAAUUUAGCUUCAGUUUAUUAAAAGGACAGUUUUGUAUGAGUUUGGCCAUUGUAGAUAAUCAUACAGCAGUUGACCUGCCAAGUAUGAUAAGUAUUGAACGCAUCAUACAUAGAUCUUCUCUCGCCCAUUCCUGGUUCCCCCAUGUUGGGUGGGUAGCUGUUCAUCUUCAGCUUGGUCUUCUGCUAGAGUCCUGGAAGCUUCAGGGCUCUUUGUAGUAUGUUUUGUGUUUCUAGGACUACACUCUUCUAGACUGAGAUCUCUGUUUCUUCAGGCAUAUUUUAGAACAUUUUUUUCUAUUUUGUGGGGGUCACUGCCCCAAGUUCUCCAGUGAUCAUGCUUUCAGAUGCCAGGCUUUCUUUAGGACUGAGGCCUUGUUAUUUCCCUCCUCUCUCAUUUUCCUAAUAUUUGUGUUGCUUGUGAUGGCCACAUGGAUCACAUCAGCUGUUGUCUUCUGCUUUUCAGUAAUCACAAUGCCUGAUUGUCCAAUGGCCAUUACCAUUUCAUUAAUUUGCAUCUGGAAGUUCCACAGGAUCUUAGCUCGGCCAUUUUCCACCACCUUGGAAGGGAAUUCCCACUUUAAUCCAAUGGUCUCCAGUUUGUUUUCCAUGCAGAUCAUUCUGCGUGGAAAUACAAACGUACAGAAUCAAGAUGCCACAAGAUUCUGUGGCAUCUUGCAUAUUGCUGUCCAGCCAUCUUACACCCUUCUGUGAGUUUCUGGAUUGUUUUUGGGGCCUCUUUCCACAGCUUGUACCUGGAAUUUUGCCUGGUGCUUGGAUUCUCGUAACUUUUCAUCAGGCUGUUAGAGUAGACUUUAUUGUGGACAUUUGAAAGUACUUAAUUAUUUUUGUUUGCAUAGAAAAUGGCAAUUCUGGUAUUGAGGUGUUGUAUUGGUUUUGCUUUAUGUUUAACCAUGAGUUAUUUUGACUGUCAAAUUAAAUCAAUUUUACUAGAUAUUGCAAUUGAUUUGCUAGAAAAUAAAAUUGAAAGUUGGCUGCCUCUAAUCCUCCAAGAUUUUUUAUUUUUUUUGCAAAGUUGUUAGUGAUAUUUUGGGUUUUUUAUUUUUCCAAUAGAACCGAGAGAUACAUGUGUCAGUUGAUUUAAACCAGUUUUGUGUAGGGGUAAUUGAGAGGACUGAGAAUAGAUAAUUAAGUUGUGGAAGUAUCUUCAUUUUAAUUGUGGAUUAAUUGAUGGUGAAAAUGGAAGGUUUGUCCAGUAUUUAAGGUCAUCUUCAAUCUUUUUAGGUAGUGAGGUUUCCCCCAGUGAAUCAUAGGCCUGGCGGGCCACCAGGCUUUACCUGUGCCCCUACCAGGCUAAGCGUUGCUUAUGUUUCUAA